GACGAACGCUGGCGGCGUGCUUAACACAUGCAAGUCGAACGGAAAGGCCUCUUUCGGGGGGUACUCGAGUGGCGAACGGGUGAGUAACACGUGAGUAACCUGCCCUUGACUUUGGGAUAACUUCAGGAAACUGGGGCUAAUACCGGAUAGGAGCUCCUGCUGCAUGGUGGGGGUUGGAAAGUUUCGGCGGUUGGGGAUGGACUCGCGGCUUAUCAGCUUGUUGGUGGGGUAGUGGCUUACCAAGGCGUUGACGGGUAGCCGGCCGGAGGGGGUGACAGGCCACAUUGAGACUGAGGGGCGGCCCAGGCGCCGACGGUAGGCAGCAGGGGGGAAUAUUGCACAAUGGAUGGAGGCCUGAUGCAGCAGCGCCGUGGGCGGGAUGACGGCCUUCGGGUUGUAAACCACUUUCGCUCAUGACGAAGCUUUGUGUGACGGUAGUGAGAAAAGAAGCACCGGCUAACUACGUG
rnacentral:rRNA from 1 species